UACGUAGGGUGCAAGCGUUAAUCGGAAUUACUGGGCGUAAAGCGUGCGCAGGCGGUUUUGUAAGUCUGUCGUGAAAUCCCCGGGCUCAACCUGGGAAUUGCGAUGGAGACUGCAAGGCUAGAAUCUGGCAGAGGGGGGGUAGAAUUCCACGUGUAGCAGUGAAAUGCGUAGAGAUGUGGAGGAACACCGAUGGCGAAGGCAGCCUCCUGGGCCAACACUGACGCUCAUGCACGAAAGCGUGGGGAGCAAACAGG
rnacentral:rRNA from 1 species